rnacentral:lncRNA from 1 species
UUUUUUUUUUUUUUUUUUUUUUUGGUUUAGUAGUGGGGAGAGAGUUUGUUUGGAUUAUAUGUAUUUACAUGUGAAAUCAAUCUGGGUUCCUGAAAAAAAAAAAAAGAGAAAUCAAUCUGGGAAUUUAUGGAUUGCAGUUGUGGCGCCAGGAGGCACGGGCAAUCAAAAUCUAUCUACCUACCUAUUACUCCCUCCGUCCCACUUUAAUAGUUCUAUAUUUCUUUUUCAUCUGUCCCAAAUUAUAGUCCACUUUCCAAUUGAAAAAUAUAGUUAUAUUUUAAUUUUCCUAAAAUAUCCUUAUUCAAUGCAAGUAGUUGUUACUAUAAACCUAACACAUUUAAUGAGAGUUGAUUCUUUUUUCACCAUCAAUUCAAGUUCUCAUAAAGUUGUACCAUAUUUAAUGUGAGGGUAUUUUAGGAAAAUAGCAAUCUAAAUUUACUUUUCUAACAAAAUUAAUUACUUUUUUUUAAAUUGUGUGAAAAAAGAUACAGGACUAUCAAAGUGGGACGGAGGGAGUAUAUAAGAAAGAAGCGAGAUUACUGUAGCAGUCUCUAUGACUGUCAAAUGGCUCCCAUUUAGUUUGACAUGUGGAUCAUUAAUCCUUUGAAGAAGCUAUCUAUAUUAUUUUUCCUUUUUCUUUUGGUUUUCUUUUUUCCCUCAUUUCUUCUUUCCUUUUUGGCAAAAGACAACAACCACAAGAAUCUUUAUCCUUAUCUACACUAUCACUUGCACGUUCAAUUUUCACUCUGUUCUCUUUUCAUUUUUUUUCUCUUUUUUUUGCUUCACCCUAAUCGUUUACUCUGCUUUUGUUUUUUCUAUUGAAUUAGUUGAUGCAUUUUUUUUUCAAAAUUUUCAUAAUUAACUAAAUGAAUGGUUUUUGUUGUUGGAGUGGAUGAGGGAAGACAGCAAUUUUUGUUGAGGGAAGCUAACAAUUUUUCCUCAAUUGAAAUUCAUUCCAAUUUUAGUUUUCAUUUAUUAAAAUUGUUAUUUAAUAAUAGGCUAAUAGUGCUGGAAUGAAGGAGGAAGAAUUUGACAAGUGAAGAUCCAAGAUAAAUGAUGACUAGGAAGGAAAUAGAGAGGUCUAUUUUUUAGUGAGAUUACUGUAGCAGUCUCUAUGACUGUCAAAUGACUCCCAUCUAGUUUGACAUGUGGCUCAUUAAUCAUUUGAGAAAGCUAUCUAUAUUUUUUUCCCUUUUUCUUUUGGUUUUCUUUUUCCCUUCAUUUCCUUUUUCCUUUUUGGCAAAAAACAACAACCACAAGAACCUUCAUCCUCAUUUAUACUAUCACUUGCACGUUUAAUUUUCACUCUGUACUCUUUUCAUUUUUUUCCUCUUUUUUUUGCUUCGCCCUAAUCGUUUACUCUGCUUUUGUUUUUUCUAUUGAAUUAGUUGAUGCAUUUUUUUUUAAAAUUUCCAUAAUUAACUAAAUGAAUGGUUUUGUUGUUGGAGUGGAUGAGGGAAGAUAGCAAUUUUUGUUGAGGGAAGAUAACAAUUUUUCCUCAAUUGAAAUUCAUUCCAAUUUUAGUUUUCAUUUAUUAAAAUUGUUAUUUGAUAAUAGGCUGAUAGUGCUAGAACAAAGGAGGAAUAAUUUGAAAAGUGAAGAUCCAAGAUGAGUGAUGACUGGGAAGGAAAUAGAGAGGUCUAUUGAAUUUAAAAUUAAUCAAAGUCUGUUAAUUUAUAGAUAGAUAAUUAUAUUUCCAUAUUUUGAUUUAUUUAAAAUUUCUUAAUAGCGACAAAUGGUUAUUUACUAGAUGAGAACGAUGAUAUGUAAAGGAAUUGUUAGGGCUACUAACUUAGGAUAUGAAUAAAAUAUUUCGUAUAAUCUCUUCAUUUUGGGUUACUGACUUGUAUCCAUGAUAGGUGGUUUAUUUUCAUAGUAUGAUAGUUUGAGAAGACAAGAAGUGCAGAAUUAGAUUUUAAAAUCAUUUGCUUAAGUUGGUUCUAUGAAUUUGUUUUUUUUUUUAUCACUUUUAUUGUCCUAAUGAUAAUAUAAGGUAGAUGUGGAACUGGAUAUAUCAUGACUAUUUGGCUGAAGUAGUUGAUAAUUUUUUAUAAACUCAAGUAGCUGAAUUGAUUGCUGUUGUUAAGGAAUUGCAAUUAGUGGUGGAAGUCAAAAUUGAGACUUUUAACCUAGAGAGUGAUUUGACAAAAAAUUUGUUAAAAAAUUCAAUCUUGAUUAAUAAGAUAUUUUUGCGAUCAAAUAAAUGGUUGGUUUCGAAUUUGUACAUGUACAUUUGCAAACAUGGCAGUUCAUAUUUUUAUCUAAUAUUGCUAUUUGUAUUCUCAAACUGUUUGGCAGAUAAUGUUAUCACCUAUUUGUAAUGCUAUUAAAAAGGAUUUAAAUGGAUGGAUUAACAACUCGCCUUUUCUCUAAAAAAGACAAAAAAACAAUGUGUAGGUUUGUAUGUUUUGAAAAGGAUAGAAAAAUAUGCAAGUUUGUAUGUUUUAUUGAUGUUGAAAAUUGUGACAGAUCUUGGCAAUUUUCUAAACUUUUUUCUAAUUAUUAAACUGCUAGAAGUAUUAUGACUACUUUUGGUUUAGUCACAAUUAAAGCUAUGCUGCCAUUAAAUUGGCAAUGUAGUGUACUUAUUAUCUCUCCUUUUUUUGGUAUUAUUAUGCACACAUAGAAUUGGUUCAAAAAUCUUUGUCCAAAUCACAAUAAAUAGCAGACUAACUUCAUAAACGAAAUUUCUCUUCAUAGCAAAUUUUAAUUGUUUUGAUGCUCAAAAUUUCUCCUGUAUUUACCAAAAAGAUUUAUUGCUCUAUGUUUAACUAAACUUCUAAGGGGCACAGCACGGCCAAGAUACAUCUACUAGUAGUAUAAAUAUGGUGUAGAAAACAAAAUGUAUUAGUGGACUGAGAUUUUUUUUCCUUUUUAUUUAACCAAAAAUUUUUUUUUUUUACUUUUUCUGUUGUCAUGCUUUUGGGGCAGGUUAUAGGGUACCCGCCCUUAAAAAAAAUAUUUUCCAAUAAAAAAUAUUUUUCAUUUAAUAUCAAUAUGUUUUCCAAUAAAAAAAGUAUGCUUUCCAAUUAACAUUGGUAGAGAUAUUAUAAUCAAAAUCCAUGCAUCACCAUUCUCACACAUUUCAUCCAAUAAUCAAACCGAUUUCAUAAAUUUAGUACAUAUUAGAAUUAUAAUAUCUAAUAAAUAAAAUGAAAUUUUAUGAUAAUUUAGAGUACAUCAUCAUUCUCAGGCAUUUCAUCCUCUACAACAUAACAAACACAAGAAUAAUAAGUAUAUGACAACUUUUCCAAGUAUAACAAACACAAGGAUAAAACGAAGUUUUAUAAUAAUUUUGAGUACAUCACCAUUCUCACGCAUUUCAUCAUUUUACAACAGAACAAACACAAGGAUAAUAAGUAUAUGGCAACUUUUCCAACUUCCUUAAGGAUGUUAUGGUACAAGAUUGCACUUAAAAUGAGUCGAUUGUGGAAUCAUGUCCGGAAAGAAAUUGAACAGAGCUAAUAAUUUUUGAAGAAAGUAUAACCAAAAUAAUCUUGAAAAAUUUUCUCCAACUUUUACCAAAAUAAUUUUGAAAAAUUUUUUCCAACUUUUUUACAUCUUUGGAAUAGGCCUUUUGCAUUAAAGGUGAUGAAAAGAAAAAUAAAUUUCUUGCACUAAAAUAAAGGAGACAAAUUUAAGAGACACAAUUGCAAUAAAAUAAAUAAAUAAAUGAAAGACACAAAUUCGAUUUGAGUAUUCAAAUGGGUGAUAGGUGGAAUAAUGUCUAUGCAAGUUGGAUUUUGAGAUUUUGCCUGAUUAUAAUUAAUCUAGGUCAGUUGCUUGGAAUCCAUCUGAGAUUGUUAAAAAUCUGGAAUAUUGUCAAUGACUUUAAUGGUAGAUAAGUGGUGUUUUGUAGAAAGAAAGGGGUCAAUUAGACAUUGAAACUUAGGUUCUACAAAUCACAAGAAUUACUAGAGAGCAUAUUGCACCAAGGUUCAUUUGGAGGUUGUUUUGUCAUGAUUUAGAUGAAUUGUGCAGAUUUUUGUCCUUUGCAGGCAAAUAUAGGACUCUCAUGUAAUGUAGUUGCAACUUGACGUUUGAUUUGAGUAUUUAAAUGAUGGGUGGUGGGUGGAACAGAGUAUAUGCACAUUGUAUUGGAUUCUGUGAUUUUGUUUGGAUUCUAAUUAAUUUCAGUGAGUUCCUAGGAAUCUAUUUGGGUUUGUAAAAAAUCUGGAAUGUUGUCAAUGACUUUAAUACGUGGUGCUUUUGGAGAAAAGAUAAAAGGUUAAUUAGAAACCGAAACUUAGGUUCUGGAAAUCCCAAGAAUUACAAGAAAGCAUGUUGCACCAAGGUUUAUAGGUUGGUUUUUUACGAUUCUAUAAGGUUAAUGGCAAAGAGUAGCAAGAACACACUAAAGUUUAGUUUGAAAUUUUUUAGACUGUAUAUCCUUUGCUGGUAUAUAUAGGACUCGUAUGUAAGGAGGUUGCACUUUGGGAGGAACAAAGUGUACGUGCAUCUUGUUGCAAACUAAUUGAUUACUUGGAAUUUAUUUAUGAGUUGUUAGAUAUUUGGAGUAUUGCCUAUGAAUUUUACAAGCAAUUAGUAGUGUUCUGGUUAAAUAGGUGGAGAAAAGAAAAAUAUGUUUGAGAAAUCCCAAGAAUUACAAGUAUUGCCACAAGGUUCAUUUGGAAACAUUUUUUAGAAUUCUACAAGGCUUAAGGUAACCAGAACUUUCCAUGUUUAGUUAGAAGUUUGCUGUGUUAAUUGUGCAGAGUUAGUUCCUUUGUAGGCAUUUAGAGGAGUCAUAAACAAGGAUAUUGCACUUCGGGAUUUAAUUGAUUGGCCUGAUGGUGACACAAGGAAUUGAAUAUCGCAUCUUUUGGAUUCUGUCUAAUUUAAUUGAUUGGCCAGAUGGUGACACAAGGAACUGAAUAUCGCAUCUUUUGAAUUCUGCCUAAUUUAGGUGAGUUACUUGGGAUUUAUCUACUGGUUUGUUACAAAUUUCGAGUAUUGUCAGUAAUUUCAUGGUAGAAGUAGUAUUGAAUUGAAAUAGAUGGACAAAAAAGAAACGGUAUUUAGAAUCAGAAAAAUGGUAUAUAGACAAGGAUGAUUAGAAGUUUGAGUUGUGUGGAGUUUUGCCCUUUGCAGGCACAUAUAGGACUCUUGUGUAAGGACAUUGCACUUUAGAGUAUCCGUUGAAUACUCAAAUGGUGAUAGGAGGAACAAAGUAUGUGCGCGUGCUAUUGGAUUCUAAUUAAUUUAGGUGAGUUGCUUGGAAUUUAUUUCUAGGUUGUUAAAGUUUGGCGUAUUGUCAUUGAAUACUAUGAUAGAUUACUGGUGUUCCGGUUGAAUGGAGAAAAGAGAAAAGGUCAUGUAGCGCAGAAACUUAGGUUCAGAAAUCCCAAGGAUUACAGGCAGGCAUAUUACAGCAACGUUCAUUUGUAGUUGCUUUUUAACCUUUGUGCAAGGCUUAAGGCAGAGAGCAACUACAACAUACCAAGUUUAAUUAGAAGUUUACUGGUGUCGUGCAGACUUAGGUAUCAAUUGAAUAUACAAAUGGUGACAGGAAGAGCAAAGUUUAUGUUGUAUCUUGUUGGUCAAGGUGAGUUUUUGGGAAUUUAUUUGUGGGUUAUUAAAUAUCUGGAGUAUUGCCAAUGAAUUUUACAGUUGAUCUAGUUAAAUAAAUGGAGAAAAAAAGAAAGGUUAUUUAAAACAGAAACUUAGGUUUGGGAAAUUCUAAAUCUACAUGUAAGAAUAUUGCAGCAAGGCAGUUUUUAGGUUGUUUUUUCUCCAUUCUGCAAGGCUUGAGGCAAAGAGUAACCAGAACAUACAAAGUUCAGUUGGAUGUUGUGCAGAGUUUGGUUCAUUUGCAAGCAUUUAAAGGACUCAUUCAUAUACAAGGACAUUUCACUUCUAGAUUUAGAUUGAUUGGUCCAUAUGGUAAUAUGAGGAACUAAGUAUUGCAUCUUUUGGGAUUCUUUCUAAUAUAGGUUAGCGGCUUGAAAUUUAUUUGUUGGUUGUUAAAUAUUUGGUGUAUUGAUGAUCAAUUAGUAGUGUUCUUGUUAAUUAAAUAGAAGAAAGAAAAAAGGUUAUUUAGUAAAGAAACUUAGCUUCGAGAAAUCCCAAGAUUACUACUAAGCAUAUUGCAGCAUAAUUCAUUUGGAGGCUUUUUUACCAUUCUACAAGGCUCAAGGCCAAGAGUGACCAGAACAUACCAAGUCUAGUUCAUAGUUUGUUGGCUUUCUGCAGAGUUUGGUUCCUUCGCAGGCAAUUUGGGAGGACUUAUAUUCAAGGACGUUGCAUUUUGGGAUUUAAAUUGAAUGCCCAGAUGGCAACACAAGGAACUUAGUAUUGCAUCUUUUUGGAUUCUAUCUAAUCUAGCUGAGCUACUUGGCAUUUAUCUGUGGGUUUGUUAAAAUCUGCAGUAUUACCAAUGAUUUUGUGGUAGGCAAGAAGUAUUGUGGUUUUUAGAAUCUGAAAGUGAACUUCUGCAACCAGAUUUACAAGAUAGCAUAGCACAUUGUAGCAAGGUUCAUUUCAGGUGAGUUGUCCAGAAUUUUGUCCUUUGCUGAAAAUUAUAGGACUUUUAUUUAAUGACAUUGCUCUUUGUCAUUUUUGGCAUUUUAGGUGAUUUGAUUCAAAACAGUUGUUACUUGUUUUUGUUUUUCCCAAGUAUAUAGUUAUUCUUGUGGCAUUGGAUAGUGAAAAUUUUUAAAUGCUAAAAGACCUAGGCUUCAUCUUAUUAAUCCUCAAAUGGUGUAAUUUGCUAAAAGAGUGUGAUGGGAUCAUGGGACCAUCGUAAUAGAGUGAUGGACCAUAAUGAAGGCAGUGGUACUCAGAGUGAGCGUGGAUACACAUCUAUCGUGAGUGUGAACAUUUUUAGUAUUACAUUCUUUUUUUUUUCUUCCUCGAAGGUAGAAACACACACACACACACACACCCGCUGCACUCAAUGAUGCAGGAAGCAUCGAGAAACUGGCCUAACAGAGCAAUCUAAGAGGGACUCAUAGAGAAACCUUAUCCAGUCAAUUGGUGACAGGAAGGGUUCCCAUGGACCUUAAACCUAGAGUAAAGAUCCCACGAUCUUUCAAUUUGGGAUGGUGCAAGCCCUUCGAUCUUUUGAUAGUAUUACAUUCACUUGUGGAGUUUUAAGCAUGCAAUCGAUUAAUCUUGAGUUUUUUUUUUUAACAUAUGAUUUUUCCACCCCUCCUCGCUCCCAGCUGUAGGAUUCGAACUCUGAAUUUGACAGUGAAAAACUCUUAUAGCUUUCCCCCUAUUUUGAGUGAAUGUGUUUUAGAACACUUUGUUUAGAAAUUAUCGUAGUGUGAAAGUAUUUUUGGACGAUUACUAUUUUAUCGUAUUAUAAAAAAUUAAAAACUUUCUAUAACAAUUUUUUGUUUUAUAGCUAUGUUGGUAUUAAAAAUGUGGUUAAUUUGUUACAGAAAAAAAUAAAAAAGCAAUUAACUUUAAAUAAGAGUUAGUCUUGACGCUACAUUAUCACGAUUGAAUUCGGUGAUACGUCAAUAAAAUUUGUUCAAAUUUUACACAUAUAACAUAUUUAAAAUCGUUUCAUAAACAUUUUUUUUCCAAAGUUUCACAACAGAAAUAGUAGAGAGCCAUUAAUCCUACCCACAAAUUGCAAAUAUGAGCAAAGGCUGGGGUUUCAUUGCAAAUUUGCAAUGGACGCGAUUCUUUGAUAAGCUCUCCGAAUCUCUCCACAGUCCCCAGCAUAAACCCUGAAUCUCCAAUCCCGCAUAAGAACAAGACAAUCCUCUGAAUUCCUAGAACCCUAGAUCCCACAAUGGCCCUUCGCCUUAAGCUCCGAUCAAUCUUGCUGCUUCAAAACCACCGCCGUUUCUCAACCUCAAUCCUAAAUCCCAACUCAAAUACCCCACUGACCAGCAAGGAAAAGUCUCGGGCGGCGCUCUCUCUCCUUCGGGCCGAGAAGAACCCAGAACGAAUACUCGACAUUUGCCGCGCUGCUUCGCUGACUCCGGAAUCCCAUCUCGACCGCGUCGCCUACUCCAAAGCCAUUUCCAAGCUUAGGGACUUAAAUUACUUCAAUGGGAUUCGGUCUUUUGUCGAGGAAUCCAUGGCCCGGCCCGAUAUGAAGUCCGAGAGAUAUAUUUCCCAUUUUGUUGUUCUGUAUGGGCAGGCUGGCAUGGUUGCUGAUGCACGCAAGACGUUUGAGGAAAUGCACGAGAUCGGUCUCGAUAGAACGGUAAAAACACUUAAUGCUUUGCUGUUUUCUUGCGUUUUAGCCAAGGACUACAAGGAAAUGAAGCGGAUUUAUAUGGAAUAUCCAAAAAUUUAUGGGAUUGUCCCGAAUUUAGAUACUUACAAUACUGUGAUCAAAGGGUUUUGUGAGUCUGGUGAUUCGAGUUCUUGUUACUCGAUAUUGGCUGAAAUGGGUAGGAAAGGGGUUAAGCCGAAUGGGACAACGUUUGGGACGAUGAUUGCGGGAUUUUAUGAGGAGGAGAAAUUUGAGGAUGUCGGUAAAGUGUUGAAGAUGAUGAAAGAAGAGCAUAGCAUAACUCCUGGGACUAGUAUUUAUAACAUUAGGAUUCAGAAGCUGUGCAAGUUAAAGAGGUGUAGGGAGGCAAAAGCAUUGUUUGAGAGCAUCUUGUCGAGAGGCUAUAAGCCGAAUAAAGUAACUUAUCAUCACUUAAUUCACGGGUUCUGUAAGGAGGGAGAUUUGGAGGAGGCAAAAGGGUUGUUUGAGAGGAUGGUGAAGAGUGGGAUUAAACCCGAAGGCGAAUGCUAUUUCACUCUGGUUUACUUCCUGUGUAGAGGUGAGGACUUUGAGGCUGCACUAAAGAUCUGUAAAGAGUGUCUUGCAAAGGGUUGGGUUCCAAAUUUCACGACUAUGAAGUUGCUUGUGGAGGGUCUGGCUAGCAUUUCAAAGGUCGAUGAAGCAAAGGAGAUUAUUGGGCACCUAAAAAAGGAGUUCUCAGCAUAUGCUGAUCGGUGGACUGAGAUUGAAGAAGGAUUGGCAAAGUAGACAGGAUGAACAUGGUAGUCUAUUGAAUCUGCUUCUGCAUCAUACGAUGAUCAUACUGAGACCAAGUUAGAAAUAAUUUGUACGUAAUUUUUGUCUGGAUAGAAUUGUAGUUUUCUACUCAGUUAUGGUAGCUCGACAAGUUUUGAUUUUGAUAAUUUUGUUAUGAUCAGUUGCGCAGUUUAUUAAGGUGUUUUAUCAAUUAAACUAACUCUGCUGGAGAUAUAUGGUACACAAAUGCAGUUCAACGUAUCAUAUUUCCUUUCGCAUACAUUUGGAGAUACGUUUCAAUAACAUGAAUGUACGUACCGGUGCUGCUUUUUUUAUGUAUUAGGCUUCAGACAGGCUCAAGGACUCAGAAUUUUCACGAGAUAUUAUGCUUACAGGCUCCAAUCGUACUCUCUGAUUGAUGUUAGUGUGGGCAUUAAUUAUGCUGAAUGUGGCAUGUGUAGGAUCAUGCAUUGCGAUUCGGGUGUUCUUUUCAGCUGAAUAAACAUUCGUGCUUCUCAACCAAAGCCUUUACUCUCGAGGAAUUCAAUGGCCUAUAACCUGCGGCUAGGUUUAUUAGAAUCUUACAGGACGAGCAUCAUUUGCUGAAUGAAUAAUCUUUUCGAGACAAGUGGUUCACAAAUGCCAGAAUGUCAGUUCAUUAUUACAAUCCUGGGUUACUUGUUCGCCAAAGAAAGAAAAAACCAGUCCCCUCCUUGUACCGCUUUCUGGGUGCAAUGUGCGCUUUUAUUGACAAGCUGCAAGUCUGAGAAUUGCAUACGAGCAUGAAUAUUAAUCUGUCAUCAAUUGUUGUAAAUUCGAGGCUAUAGCAAAAGGCGUAAAAAGUGUUUUAUUUAAAAAAAAUAAAAUAAAAUUUGGCGUUCUCAUGUACAAUGAUUCUGUUAAGUACAAAAAUACAUCUGAAGCAUUACUUUCUCUUCCAAAAGAAAGAAAGAAAAAGAUAAAAAAUAUACAAGAAAAGUGAACAUAAACUCAUGACUCUGUUUAAAAAAAAAAAAGCAAAAACACAAAAUUCCAGCUCUGCUUUUGCUCUGGACCAGAAAAGCACAUAAAUUUAGGCUACAACGAAGUUGCCAUUGACUUGGACCCGGUCUUUAGGUGUUGUAUUCCAUAUGCGGCUGUUGAACCGACAGUUGUUAGAGCAACCAACCAACUGAGAAGCAUGCCAUGUGUUAUUCCGGUGUAAAAUGACACAAUUCUACUACAUGAAAUGCCAAACUACUUCCCCAAAGUAAAGUACCUCAGAUAUGUAAUGUAUGACUGUGUUUCCUCGCUACCAAAUUCUGGUUGCAGAAGAGCUGCAGCAACUAGGACCAAUUGGAGAACUGUGUUCAACUGUCAACAUAUAUAUCAGAACUUAGCUAAAAAGAAAUAAAAUUUAUAUUUAGGAUGAAUCAAGUGAGCAAUAUACAGCUGAUCCAAUACAGUCAUCCUAACAAUUUCCCGCACGUCCUCUCAUGAUAUUAGUGUGCUAAGUAAUCACUAGAAGCAGAUCCCGACUCAGUUAGCUUCCUCUUUUCUUUUUUCCCUGCUUAAAAUGACCUUGGUUUGCCACUGAAAACAACUUACUAACAUGCAGAUAGAGAUUUCAUCUUUUAGUUAUGAGAAACCCAUCCUUCCCUCUUCCUAUCUCUUCUUGGCACAUUUAAAGAGGACAUGAAGAAGCAUAUCAAACUGCUCUCACUAAAUUGAUGGAUUUCUGAUUAUUGUGCUGCAUCUUUUUCACCAAGUACCCAGGCCUGAGAAAAUGAACAUACCUUGCUUAUCAAGAGAGGUUCAACUUUCUCAGGGCAAGUCCCAUCAAGGUUGAAGAAAUCAAACCAACUCUUCCACUGUUACAAGAAUUUAACUCAAUAGUGUCAAGCAAAGAUAGAGCAGCUUAGUCAUAAAGAGCUUCAGGUAGAUCUCCCUCACCUGCCAUUGCAAACUGCUAGCUCUUUUAUAGACUGCCCCGCCAACAAGGGCAACAUCACGCAACACAACAAGCGCAACAAGUCCGGCUACAAAAGAUAAAAGACCAAUUGAAUAAGUUUCUAAAGAAAGGAUGAUAUUAUCUUCAAAAAUUUAAUUUUAAUCCUAGAAAUUUCUCUUGUAUCAGUUGGCCAUAUAACUGGCAGACUUGCAUAAAUAUAUCUUUGACAAAGUUUCUAGCUCAAAAGGUGGACAUCUCUUUUGUAAAGAAAAUUAACAUCACACAAAGGGGAAUAUCUGACAUACAAUUAUUUGGUACUAAGUAUACAGAAAAUAAAUUACUAAUUGUUUUAGAAAAAGAAAAAGAGUAAUUUUUUUGUCACCACACUGUUACUUGCAAUGUUACCAAUGGCAUUAGAUAUUUGAUCAGUAGUUCUUCGAUUUAAAAAAAAUGACAAAAAAGGCACAUACAAGUAGGAAACCAAUUACACACUUACGGUGCAGAAGACCUUUAUAAACCAUGCCCAAAGCAACAGAUCCAAUUAGUACCUGCACCCAUGAAUGCAAUGAAAUACUGAGAAAAAUUACACUAACCAAGUAAUGCUGUGAAAAAGAUGUCACAUUCAUUUAUUAGAAGUGUAAGACAAAAGGAAAACAAUAUUAAAAUUUUUUAAUGUAAUCGGGCAGCCAAGAAAAAGUUGAUUAUUACCUUGUCAGCAAGAGGAUCAAGGUAGGAACCCACCACAGAAUUGAUUCCCAUCUUCCUGGCCAAGUAACCAUCUAGCUACAAAAUUGGAAAAAUUAGAAGAUAUUGGCAUCCAUCCAGCUACAAGGAAGAUUGGAAAACUUAGAAGAUAUUGGCAUCUCCUCGUAUCAAACAUCCAAUAAUGACAAGACUAGAAUUCCCAUACCCAAUCAGUCACACCAGAGAUACCUAGACCAACAAAUGCUGAAAGAUACAUUUCAUGGGUGAUCAUCCUGCAAAGUCAAUUAGAACAAUACUUUAUAAUGGCCAAAUAUACAAGACAAGUUGAAUAAUAGAACUGUUGGUUAAGAGCACAGUUGAAUAACUGAAUGUAGAGGUGACUGAAUAAGCAUCUUACUCCUAUAACACUAUUCCCACAUGCAAUGAUAAGCAAACUAGACUGAAAUACUAUAGUACCAACCCAACACAUCAUAUUUCAACUCUAUUUGCCAAAGCAAAUGCAAACACGCGCACAAAGAGAAGAUAAACCUUUCAAGGAUUCUAGUACAAGCAUGUUUAGGAGAUAAUAAUGGGAUACUCAGUGCUAAAAUUUUGGCUUAAACUGUUAUAUAAUGUUCCUCAAGGCCAUGUGCUAUCAUAAACCUGAUCAAGAAACAAACAAUAAAUAAAAGGGGGAAAAAAGGAGGAAGCAGCAAAACAAAACCCAGUAAUAGAGGAUUACUCACAUAUCCUCAUCGAGGAUCAGUAUUGCAGAAAACAAAGAUCACUAUACUACUUUUGAUUCCUAAUGUAGUAUGCAAAGGUACAUUGUUACUAAACAACCGAUAAAUGUUGUGCAGGUUCAUAAUCCAACAGUCAUUAUUGUCUUUCAAGGUUGCCUGAAGCCUGGACUGCACUAAGAGAUAAAUCCUAAUUUCUUAGAACGACCACUUUCUCAUGUAUGUUUAGCAACUAAAAUCCGACUAAACAAAUUAGCAAGCAGUAAAAUUAUGGACUUUUACAAAUUAAUAUUCUUUACUUCUCCAUCUUGUUCAAUUAUGCUUGGAUACAUCACAGAGAAAAGGUUGUAAUUGAGUUUUACCAUAAAGUUUUCAGCAAAAUGUGGUUUUUCCCCUUCAUUUCACCAUCAAUAUCGAAAGCACGUAAACAUUUUAUAUUUUCCGCAUGAAUCAAAAAACCAACAAACAUAUUAAAUUCAUGAAUUUAAAAAAAGGGCCAAAUUUGAAAAAGAAAUAUACCAUCCAAGCAGUGGGCCGGAGACUAAUCGACCGAAAGAAAUAAAAUUGGGAAGAUUCAAAUAGCUAUCAGUAACUUUGACCAGAGCAUCAGAAUCAGUAUGAUCAAGCUUGGACCCAUUAAAUCCCUCACUAUAUUUCUUCUCCUUGCUGUUUAAAUCCUGAAACCGUAGUUUGUACGUAAUAAUGUUAUUCAGGGCAUAUGGGACCCUGGGUGAAAGAUUGAGCAAGGCGACGUCGCAUUGGAGGUGAAGGGGAGUGGCGGAUUGAGAUAGCUUCCAAGGGGGCGACGAGAGAAAUAGAGGGCCAAAAGUGGACGAAGGGAUAGGAGGGAGAAAAUGGGGCCGAAGAAAAAAUGGGUUUUUGAUAAUGUUACUAUUGGAAUUGUGGGAUAUGUAGGACUGGGAACUGGAGCAGAGGGAGACGAAGGUUCUAGCAGAAGAAGAAACAGAAUUAGGGUUUUGAAGCGGGGAUUUCGUGGAUUGGGAAAUUAGGGUUUUAAGGAUUGAUCGGAAGAAGGCCAUGGCCGAUGAUGGUCAAGCAUUGUUUUUGCAGUUGCAGAAAGGUGGAAGGACAGUUUGGAGGUUAGGGUUUUACAAAGGGUUUUAGAGGAAGAAGAUGACACGUGGCAAGUUUACACGUGUUACAGUCAGAGGAGCGGUUUUCUUUUUUGGUUUGGAAAAAUUUUUCCUUUUUGGGUUUCAUUCUCCUGGCUGUGCUAUUUCAAUUGUGUUAUUUGAGAUACGGCUAAGUAUUUCUAUUUUGAGUAUAUUUCUUGGAGUAAAUAAUGAAGAGAGUAAAAUGCAGUUUUCAAACCCAAAGUCUAACCGUUCAGUAAUUUUGGUACUCAACCAACUAGGAGUAGAUGGCCACCAUGGAGAGAUUUAAAGCUUUUCUUGGAUGUAGAGGAAGAGAUUAUUUGCAUUCUAAAAAAUCUAGAAUUUCCUGAAAAAUUUCGCCAGCAGAUACAUAAACUGAUAGGCACCCGAAUGGGUCUGUGGCGGUUCAAUUUUCUUCGAAUUUCCCGUUUUGAUCCCUUUGGUCCUUCUUUCCCUAGAUAGGAGUAGUUGUAGAAUGGAAUGUAUUGUAUGAAAAAAAAAGAGUAAUUUUGAUACUCAAACUUCACAAAAACAAAUUUGGUAUCUGACGUUAUAAAAUUUAAUCACAAUACACUCAAUGGAAUUCUUCACAUUCAUUCCUACUAGAAAAAAAUACAUGCUGUGUAUGUCAACAAAAUUAUAAACCAAUAUCAAAAAAAUUGGAAAACAACACUCAAACUAGAUUCCAAAGAAAGUUUCAAAACCUAAUAUUGAACGAAAAGAUCCAAAGAAAAACCUUUCUAUAUCUUUGUGACACUUUUGACUUGACUCUCAAUAUUUUUCAAUAUUUUCGAAUAUUUUUAAAAUUUUGCUAACAUACACAUGAUAGGAUGUGACUUUUUCCAAUAGGAAUUUUAAAAAAAAAUUUCCAUCAAGUGAAGUAUGCUUAAAUAUUAUAAUAUUGAGUACCAAAUUUGUUUUGAAAUAUAUUCUCUCUAAAUGAAAAUAUUUUUCUCUCUUUUUUUUUUUGCUUUGUCAACAAAUGUUACUAGGAACUACAUAAGAACAAUCAAAUAAAUUUGAUAGAUGAAGUUAUUGUUGUCCAAUAAAUAUAUGGGUUAUGGUAUGACGGGGUGUGGAUUUAACCCCUCUCGUUCAAAUACGGCAUGUUUCAUAAUUGAAUGAGCAAUUUAUUUAUCAAUGAAAGUAUAGUUUAUGUUGGUUUGGAACACCACAUGAGGUAUUCUUAGGGCUGCAAAUAAACCGAAUCGCUCGCGAAACUCGACUCGAGCUCGAACUCGAGUUCAAAAUAUUAAGCUCGAAUAUAUAUAUAUAUUUUUUAUUUUAAGUAUAUAUAUAUUUUUUAUUUUUUAUUUUAAGUGUAUAUAUAUUUAUUUUAAGUAUAAAAUUACAUAUAUAUCCUUAAUAUUUUAUUAUUUAUUAAGAAAAAAUAUUAUUUUAUUUAUUUUUUUAAAAAUAAAAUAAUUAUUUUUUUAUUUUUUUCGAGUUCGAGCUCGAGCUCGAGCUCAAUAAAAUUAAAUCAAGACUUGGCUCGAUUAGACCAAAACUCGACUCGACUUGACUCGUUUGCAGCCCUAGGUAUCCUUUUCUCUUGGUUGUAUGGGAUUUAGUGAUGAUUUUCCAUAAACGAGAACUGAGAAGCACCCAUUUAUUCUGCUUACCCAUCCAAUGCCAAGAAAGGAUUUAGUCAACUUUGCAAUAACUUGGUCAUAUUCAUACGAUAUAUCUAUAAUAGGAAAAAUUCUUCAAAACAUCCCUUAGAUUUCGUCAAAUAAAUUUUUUUUGUCUUUUAUUUUUAAAAUAAUAAUUUUCCAUCCCUUAUAGAAUCAAGUUGAUAAAAUUCGGCCCAACUUAAGUUUUCAACCAACUUUUAUUUUGAACCCACUCACACAUGAUCAUUUUUUCAGAGGCAAAAAGGUUUUAUCUCAUAUAUAAUUAAAUAAAUGGUUUAAUCCGUUGGUAUUUUUAACCCUAAAAAAGUAGGAUAUAACCCAACUUAUAUUCAUUUUUUUUCUAAAAAAUUGAGAUCUGACCUAAUCCAUAUUCAUUUUGCCACUAAAAAAUUGGGAUGUGAUGUGACCUUUUUGUACAUGAAAAAUGACUGCAAGCUGGUCUGUAGUAAUUUUAGGCUCAAAAGCGAUCGAAAAUUUAGAAUGGGAUCAAAUUUUGCUAAUUUGAAUUUUUAAGGGACAUAAAGUUAAUAUUUUAAAAAUAAAGGUUAAAAAAAAUCAUUUGACAAAAUAUGAGGGAGGUUUUCAACAAUUUCCAUUUAUAAUAUUCUCGUUUAUAAUAUUCCGCUUAUAAUAUUCUCGUACUUCUCUACCCAAGACUUUAACGAAUAUAACGGGCUUCCAAGUCAUUAGCUGCCUGAAAGUAGUUACUUCCACGACCCCAAUUGAGUUUCUUACCAAAUCUUCUUCCAACACUUUUUUUUUUCUUUCUUUUUUCCUGUGAAUGAACAACCUUCUUUAAGUUCAAAAACAAUACAUUCUUUAGCUUUCUUUUUCCUUUAUGAUGCCAGCUUGUAUUUAAUUAAUCUGAAAAUAUCCUUCGGCUCCGAGGAGAUAUUGAAACAUUACCUGGCAUUGUCAAUAAAUGAAAGAGAAAGAUGGAAAGAUACCACAUUUUAUGAUUGUUUUCGAACCUGAGAAGGUUUGUUGGGAAAAUCAAAAGGAGGGGUGUGGAAGGAGAUGAGAUUAUUGGCCUGUUGCACAAUGCAGCGCAGCACCACAAUGAGGAAGGCACCUUUGAAAGCAUCUAAGAGUUCUAUCAACGACGUGAAGAUCUCCAAGAAAUAUGAUGACUCUGAUGCAUUGUCCACCAUUGUCAGAAGUGUUUCUCUGAAUACAGGUUACCCCAGCCAAACAAUAUUUCAUCUCUUGUCUUUCAUUUUCGAGCUUUUUUUUUCCCCUUUUUGUUUGGCGAUUUAUGUAUCUGAUAGGUUUAAUCUAUACAAAGUAUGUGCAUUUUACACCUGAACAUGGUUUUUGCAAGUGUGCAGAAAAUGUCAAAUGUUACUUUGUGCUCCAGCAUUCUUAACAGACUUAAUAAUGUUUGAUCAAUCCUCUUUUUUGACGUUAAGGCUUGUAGGAAAUAACUGAAUGCAUUAAAAUUGAUCACCUUGUUAAGAACAAGAAGAUUUCAACACAAUUUCCUCACCACACUAGAUUCUUCUUCCCAAAUGCACAAGCGCAAGCCUUUGCAACAUAGAGAUUAUGAGAUUGCAGGAAUAUAAGCUGAUUGUCUUGUUGCUUAAGAUUUAUCUUGUUAUAACCCGUAUUAUACACACGGGUGUGAUGAUCUAUACAGGCCCUAGUAAACAAAGAACAGUAGCUGAGGACAUACUUCGUUAUGGACAUGUUAAAGUUGCAGCAGAGGUAUUCACAUUUCGCGAACUCGCAGCUGCAACGGACAAUUUCAAUUCUGAACUACUGGUGGGAGAAGGAGGAUUUGGAAGGGUCUAUAUGGGACGCCUCAAGAAAACCGAUCAAGUAUCUCUCUCUCUCUCUGUCUCUCUCUCUCUCUCUCACACACACACACACAUAUUUGAAGUAUCAUGACCAUCCUUGUUCCCAUUUAAAGGUUGUUGCAGUCAAGCAACUUGACAGGAAUGGAUUUCAAGGAAAUAGGGAGUUUCUAGCAGAAGUUCUGACACUAAGCCUUGUUCACCACCCAAACCUCGUAAAUCUCAUAGGGUAUUGUGCUGAUGGCCGCCAAAGAAUUUUGGUCUACGAGUACAUGCGUAAUGGAUCACUAGAAGAUCACCUCUUUGGUAAGCACAAUAUUAAGUUCGGGGACAGCGACAUUUCCCAUGGAGAAUGAUCCCAAGAAGCAGUAUCAAUUAUUUGUCAAAACAUACAUUAUUGUUUUGGUUUUAUCCUUCGACAACAUGCUAAUUGGUCAAUAGUAUAAAGAUUGUUUGUGCUUUAUGUCUUACAUUACAUUCUAAUGAUGUUAUCUGUUUUUCAGAUAUUCCUCCACAUAAGAAGCCUCUAGAUUGGUUUACUCGGAUGAAAAUAGCUAAAGGUGCAGCACAAGGACUCGAGUACUUGCACGACACAGCCAACCCACAAAUCAUCUAUCGCGAUCUAAAAGCAUCUAACAUCUUAUUAGAUGAUGAGUUUAAUCCUAAGCUCUCUGAUUUUGGACUUGCUAAGUUAGGUCCAACAGGAGACAAAGAUCAUGUCUCCACCAGGGUAAUGGGGACCUAUGGCUACUGUGCUCCAGAGUAUGCAAUGACAGGCCAACUGACGACGAAAUCUGACAUCUAUAGUUUUGGGGUGGUCUUGUUGGAGAUCAUCACAGGAAGGAGAGCUAUCGAUAAUACAAGGCCUACAGCAGAGCAGAACCUGAUUUCUUGGGUUAGUUUCUGGAUUUGCUAUUUUUGAAUUGACUAAAGAAGCUUCGGCACUUAUUUCUAUAACUUAAAGAACCAGUAACCAAGCCAUCUUUCGUUCUGAGAUACCUUAAUGUUCAUUUGGAUAAUUGGAUGCAAGAUUUUUUUGGGUUCAGUAUUCUGCACUAACAAUUUGAAAGUCAAAAGGCAAAUAUUCUACACGUCUGUCUGCAGGAGUAAUCAUGUCAAUUGGAGUAAUAGCUAUACUAUACUAUGGUACUGAACAAGAAACGUUUCAAUAUAGUUUAUUUGUAUAAAUUUUUAUUGUCAUGUUGAAUACAUGUGCAAGGCAGGUGCAUUUUCCUAGUUCAUGUAAAAUGGGGUAAUAGCUAUACUAUGGUACUUACCAAGAAAUGUUUCCCAACAAUGUAGUUGGUUUUAACAUUCUUUGAUUGUCAUUUAGUUUGCCCAUGAUUUUGUUCUCAUUCUUGCAGGCAAAACCUUAUUUUAAAGAUAGAAGACAAUUUACAUUCCUGGCUGACCCUUUGCUGGAAGGGGAUUACCCUGUAAAGUGUCUUCAUCAAGCUGUUGCUGUUGCGGCUAUGUGCCUCCAAGAUGAAGCUAGCACCAGGCCUUUCAUUGGCGAUGUUGUUACUGCUCUCGAGUAUCUAGCCAUGAGCACAGAUGAAAGCUUCAGCGACGAAGAAGAAGCGAUAGAUUUUCAGUAGACAUAGAAAAUCAUUUGCUGACACUCAUAGAGUCAGAAAAUUAAAUGAGGCCAUAGACAUUCCUAUCCCAUUGAGAAGGUAUCCUUAUAUGAGAAGGUAUCCUUAAUUGACCUAUCCCAUUUUGCAUUUGACAGGAAGAAAAAAGGAAAAAGAGAGAAACAGGAAGAAGAAAAAUGGUAAUUGACGACUUUUGGGAAGUCACAAGUUGUAUAGUACCCUCAAAGGAGGGGGUUAAGAGUGUUUCUAGCCAUUGAGAGACAAAGUAUUAAACAGUUCCCUGUUAUGAAGUCUGUAGGUUAUCAUCUUAUCUGUCAAAAGAUUAGCUAAUGGUUGCUCUAUUUGCAUUGAUGCUUCAGUAUCCUCAUUAGAUAUAAGCACAUGUACCUCAGUACAUUGACAUUUGAACAUUAAAAAGCACAUUUUCUUGAAUCUUCCACCUGCAACCUAUAUCUGUUACUUCACAUAAAGGAAUCCGAACUGGUAAGUUUCUAAAUUCAAUGCAGCAUAAUGUGCCUGCUACAGAACCUUAUACAUGAUCACUUAAACACCUGAAUACAUAAAAAUUCAGAACACAACAAUGUAGUUGUAUUUGUUUGAAAUAAGCCUGGAAACAGUUGUAGGAUAUCAUGCUUUUAACCUUGGAAAUGUGCAGCUUGACAAGCAGAAAUUACACUAGUUAAAUGGAGUUACCCGUGACUGCAUAAACAUGUUUACAUUCAAUUGAUACUUCUAAGUUCCUGUCUAGCGUACAACUAAAUAUCAAAUUACAUGAAGAAAGGGGACAUGAACCAAGUACAUGGUCAAUAUAAAAGUAAUCUUCUCUUUGAUGAACCAAGAGAAAGAAAAAGAGACAGAAAAGGUCCUCUUAGCUAGAGGCAGUGAGGAUCUUGAGGUAGCACUAUUUGGGAUCAGUGCCUUCAGACUCGGAUGGCCAAGCAACAACUGAUCUGGCUUUUGUUAAAGACCACAAAAACCAAUUGCAUAUGUGACAAAUUCCUAAACAGGGACACCAUGUACAAGUGUACAACCAAUUGCCCUCUUCCUGUAAAGGUCCUCAAUCUUUAAGGGAAGCUGUUAUGAGAAAGUAAACGUCAUACAUGAUCCUCAUACCUGCGGAAGGUACUACUCAUCAAUAAAAACAUACCAAGUGAAGUACUUCAGCACGGUACCAUACCAGUGGCUGGAGGUUCAUUACCUGAGGAAUUAUACUGAAGCAUGAAAAAGUUGAGAUAAAGGAACUGAAUCACAGUUUCUGAUAUUCACAGGCAACUUUUUGACGUGUAUCAUUUAAUUUUGAUGCUAAAUAAACAUGGAAAAUCAGGUCCCAUAAGAUAGGAAGUCCAUGAGAAAGAUAGAAUGUUAUCUGAAAACUUUCUCCUGCCUAACAACCUUAUGAAGCAUCAAACUAAUGCUCCAUAAGACUAUGGUACUAGACCUCAAACUCCUUCAUAUCAGCUCUGAGAUUUCUAUAACUGAACCGAGGAAAUUCACCCAAUCGAUGGCUGUCGGAUACUUCCACCAUUGAGCACAUGCCUGGUCGCACACCAGAACCUGUACCUCCUCUUCUUUUCUUCCUCCUCCAUGUCAAAUUCAAGAACCUGAAACUAGGCCAGGAUUUAAUUCCAGUGGAUGUGAAGUCCUGGACAUGUCUCUGAGGUUGUACAGAGCUUCCACAGCAGUCUACUUCCAGUCUUCGGAAAUACUCAAUCUCCUUCUUGAGAAGUGAUCCAACCGUCCCCCUUGUGCCAACUUCAACUGGAGCACCUGUACCCAUUUGUUCAGGCAACUUGCUAGUUAUGUUGCUGACACUAUAUAUCGUUUGUCUGUACACUGCCAUGGCACCAAAGAAUUGGUAUGGAAGAAAGGUUGUUUGAAGCCUUUUAGGUCCUUGUCUUUGAUGAAAGUGUGCUUUUAAGUUUGGAUCACCUCAUCUUUGAUUUGCUUUACUACAUGCUUUAUCCAAAGUGGACAGCAUGGGAAGUAUGAUUAUAAAAGCAGCAGUGGGAAUAUGAUCAUCAUAUAUGUUUGCAAUCAAAGCAAAUAAAAAGUCCUAACUGUUCCCCCUUUUUGACUUCUUGAUCAUGCAAUUGCUUGCAUAUGUAACACACCCUUCAUCAUGAUCAAGGUUCUUUCACUAUUUUUUUCCCCUCUCAAUGGGAGUAGUAGUUCAAGUCUCCAAUGUUCAUUUUCUCCUUUUUUUCUUCACAUAAUCGCAUUUUCUAAGAAUUGAGCCUGUAGCAACUGUUACCGGUUAGUCAAGAACUUUUAAUGCCAGGAAUCAAACGUGGUGUGUGAAACAGGCCUAAAUUGCCAUUGUCAAUAGGCAGUUAAGAAGGAUAAUGACCGCUUUAGCACCGUACGAAUGCACUCAAAUGGUUCACUUGGGAUGUAGAAUGAUUACUUGCGAAUUGCCAUCAAUUGCUCGAUCUUUUGAGUGCUUGUUUGGACGGACUGAGUCGUUAGAAACCAUAAAUACGCAUCAGGCAUUUCAUUUUGUUUAUCAAAUUGAAAAUGUUUAUAUGCGUGUGGGGUUCUUCUUGCUUUUCUUUCCACUUUUACUAAUGGCGGAUUCUUAAAGUGGAAUUGUUGUUGAACGGUUUCAACAUAAUCUGCUUCAAUACAAAAAUUUGCAGCUUCAGGCCACUAAUUGAUGGAAUCCAGUUUUGGUGGUGGAAUAGUUCAGCUAGUCUGCUUCCAUGGUUGAACAAAAGCAUGCUUGCACAUUGGUGGUAUCUAACAAGAAAACUGUAUGGGUUACUUACUCUGGUACAUAUCGCUGAUUGAAAAGUCAGAAACCACUAAAUAUAUCACCUCCAUCUUCAAAUCCAUCAUUUGCUGGGAGUCGUACACAUUAGACUAUCUAUCAGAUCAUCGGAGGCAGGUAGAAAGGCAUUCCUAUCUAAGAAAACAUUGACGGCGUACAUAUAUAUGUUCCAAAUUUGCAAAAUUAACAAUCGGCUGCUUACGUUUCAAUUGUACAAUACUCCUCUAAACACCAAUGUGAAUUUGUGCAAUUUGUCCACCAUUUAACAGCAGAAGUGAGAUAAUACACAAGGUACUGGAAACUGAAACAUGGUGAAAUAGAAGAUCGGUAAGUAUGGAAAUGGCAUGGCAUUGAGUCGGAAUAUAUUCAUUCUUCAGCGGUGACAGAGAGAGAUAAAUAUAUGAACUUGCAUUUCUACUCUUGCCUUCAAAUGUAUAAAACAAAAACAAGACAUUAAAGUUUGAAUUAACUUUCAAUAAAGCCCACGUUUUGACUAAGCCCUAAUCCCCGGACAAGAAUAUUAUGCAAGCAACACCCUCGACAGUUGACAGUUUUAUUGUUGGAAAAACCAAGAAUUUCCAUUCACAAUCAUAUUCAAUUGCCUUUGUUGCAUGGCUUCCAUGACAUGGUGGCUUCCCAGAAUUUAUAAUUUAACCGUGGACAUGAGAAUAUGACUUCAAUUAUCUAAAGAACAAUUUUGUAAAGAAUUUGAUGGCAGCAUGAAUCAUUUUUGAUGCCCCUAAAGAAUAUGCAGUAUUACAAUUUUCUGCUCUACAAUCAAAACACAGAAACGAUAUCAGAAGUUUAUCUGUCCAGGAAAACAAGAACAUCGCAUAAAAAUAAUAUAACCAACUUAAAACCAACAACAUCUCAAGAAAUUAGCGCAUUGCAAUGUAAUGCUCUUGAUAAAACUGAAAGAUGCUUUAUUCAAAUAGUUAUCAAAUAAAUUACAAGCCUCAAACUUGAAGAGCUUGCGCUCUCUCCUUUACUUUUUCCAUUUUUUCCCUAACCCCCAUUGUUGUUUUUUACUCUUUCAAAUUUUUUUUAUCCAAUUUUCCUUUAUUUGGAUUUACAUUUUCACGUAUAAUAUAGGAUUUUCUCAAUAUCAUCUCGUAUGUACUUUACAGUCUACACUGAAAAAAUGAUGCACAUACCUCGGCAAGGCAAGAGCAUGCUGCUGUCAAAGACCAUUCAACUUGCACCUCUUUAGUCAGAAAAAGUUAAAAUGGCUGGAUCACAUUAUACUGGGAAGGUGGCAUGAAUAUCUGAGGCUGCGAUGCAAGGCAAGAGCAUUUUGUAAGGCUACAUCUACUCUUGAACCACUCUGAAACAGUGAGUCAUACAACUGGCAGACAAACUGAGACAAUUCCUCCUCAUCAUCAUCCCAGUAAUAAUGUGAAGGUGCUCCGUUUUUUUCAGGUUCACUGUCUUCCCAGUCACUUAUUGGACUGGCAGGUUCCAUGUCUUCAUCUUCUGCUUCUUCAUCUCCAAUCUCAAACUUCCCAUUCUCUACAGCAUUAAAUUCACCAGACCCCUGGAAUGUUGCCAACUGUGUUUCUUCAGGUUCAGCAGAAGGGCAUAUGACUGCUUUAGCACCAGAAUCAAGAAGUGAUUUGAUCAAAGCCUGGGUAGGCCCGUAGAUGCCAGUGAAGAUUAUAAUCCUAUCCCUCCAAGCCCCAACCUGGGUGUCAAUACAAAGCAAGAGAAUUGGUCUCGACAACAGACAUGCUAAAUGAAUCACAAGUAUCCAAAUAUCUAAUAUGCUACCAACUUGAAAGGCCGAUAUGCAAAUCCCAAAAUUUAGGGAACAUAAUAACAGGCUGAGAAUGUCAUUAGGGUAAACAUAACUAUUCUCUUCCAGAGGAUAGAGUUUCCCAGACAUUUAUAUUUUCAAAAGAUUAGCAAAAGCAGUAUUAAAAUCUGAACCAAAGUAUACUCAGACACUUUUCUUUUAAACCUUUUUCCACCGUUUCCCUAAAUCAACAAUUUAAGUGGGUAAAAAUUGCUAAGGAAACUGCACAAAAUGAUUCUGAAUGCUGAAGCACUUGUAAAAAUACCAAAACUACAACUUUGGGGCAAUUUACACAACCUCGCUUACUAAAAGUACCUUGACAGACAAAAGUAUCAAGGGAAAAGGAAGACAAAGAGGAGUAGAAUGAAGAAGAGGUUAAGGGGAUUGAUAGAACAAUGAAUCAUUGAGGCAUAAACUCUUUGUUUUUAAAAACCACACUGAUUUACUUAGUUUAAUAGUAUCAAAUGCCAGUUUUGAGUAACCACUAUUUUACCGAAUCAUAGGAUGGUUUCUCUAGAAUUCAUUAAGAAUGGAAAGCCAAAUGAAAGCAGAUGUAAACUAGGCCACACCAUCAGACGAACAUCUUCUGGAGUUAAGUGAACAGAAGGAACAGUCCUACGGAACAUAUAUGCAGCAAUUUCUCGAUCAUCUUCCAUAACCUUCAGAAUAUUCCAAAAGGAAAUCAGAUUAGUAAUAGUCAGUUAGUGAAACUAAAUUAAGUACAAAAAGGAAAAAUAGAAAUAACACAAAAAGGAAAUCAGAUUAGCAUACUUGUGUUUGUCUUCCAAUAUAUCGAUGAACAACACCUCCAAUUUGGAAGUAGGGCCUACACGAAACCAGGUCAGAAAUUGUAGAAAUGUCUGUGAUAAUUGAUGCAUUCUUCCUACGUCGUCCUCGAAACAUUGCCAGUAGGCUAUAUUUUACAGUCUGCAGAAAUUUUUCUGCUAGUUCUCCCGGCUCAGCAACCACAAACACUUCAUUCUGCCAACUAUAUUGGGAAAAGAAAGGAAAAAAAAAAAAGACGCUUAAGUAAAAAUGAAACAGCAUUCACAUGUUUUGUCGGUAGAAGAUGAUGAUGCAAAUGUUACCUUAAUAUGGACCCAUAUAUAUCAUUUUGCAGAGCCAAAUGUAUCAGUCCAACUUGAGAAGAAUUCCUUAGUUUGUCAUGCAGUGAAAGGACAGGUAAAGUCAAUUGCCUGCGUCUGGCAGGAGAGUCAGGCGGUGAAGCAGUUGUUUUUGCAGAUUGGGAUCCAUCCAAGCUUAAAGGAGGAACCAAAUCAAUCCGGCCAACCCUCUGAUACCCAAAAUCUGGACUGUAGAACGGGGGGCUUGAUGGGAAGCUCCCAGUAAACAAAGGUGAUGUAAAUGGUGUUGGGAAUGUAGACCCUGCAGUUGCUCUGAGGGUGCCUGAUAUAUCAUUCACUAGAGAUAGCUUUAUUCCAGAGCGACCACAAAACGUCUCAAGUGAGCGUGCAUGAUGAAAAACUCUUCCAGAAUCUGGACUGUUAGAAGCCUCAACAAGAAGCACGGCUUGUCUCCAGCCUAUAGAGGGGCUGUUGUCAUCUAGCACUGCCAACACACAAGACUUCAAAGCUAAGGACAAUAAACAUCAAAAUAGAAUCAAACCUCUGAGUAGACAACAAUAAGAAUUCAGCACAUAUACCAGAUUUUAAACCUUUCGCUUUAACAAACUGCUGAGACUUUAGACUAUCUGGAAAUUUUUCAUCAUGUGAAUUCUCCAGCAAACUCUCACAUACAGUUCUAAAUGACAUAGAGUUCUUCUUGAUGUAAUCAUCUGUGGCAGCCUCCAAUCUCAACCAAACCGUUGGAUCAGUCUCAUCUAGCUCCAUCUCACAACGCUCAUCGACUGCCAUUGCAAACAAAGAAAAUCUCGGUUGAUAAAUAAUCUAGAAGUUAAAAAUAACAUUAUGCAAACAUUCAGCACUAUUAUGAUCAGGCAGCUUGAUUUCUACUCCCCUAGUUUGACAACCCAAACUCAAAAGCAAAAGCAGGAGGAAGAAAUCAAAUCCGAUUUUUUUUUUUUAAAAAAAAACACUCCAAGUGCUUGUCCUACUGGUUUCUUAGAUGCUGAUACAAAACAGAGUAUUUCAAUAACUGUUUGAAAUUCUCCUCGUAAAUUAAAACAUAUAAAAGCUAGCUUUAUAGAUGCAUGCACUUACAUUAGAGGCGCUAUACUUCAAUGUAGCUUUCUGCUCAAUAAAAACUAAAAUUUAGUUUACUUUAAGCCCAAAAAAAACCCUAAAAAAUGCCACAGUUUGGAGUUCAUAAUUAACACAUUUACUAAUAGAUAGAAAUGGUGUACCUGGAUUGAACCGAAAAUAUUGUAUGUCAGGAAGCAUAGUGAGCAACGUGCUUAAAGCUUCCUCCACACGAUCAACUGAGCAUGCACUUUCAAUCAACACCUGACCAGUAUCCAAAUAACGCCAUCCUCCUUUCCGAACCUAGCAUAGCAUGAAAACAGUAGCACAACAAUAACUAAACAAACAAGAUGAAGAAGCAACAAUAAAACAUGUACAUCUCAAACUAUCACAUCAUCUCAGUUAUCUUUAAACACCCAUGCUCGCCCAGCUGCCCACCCUCAUUCCAUCUCUUGAUGGAAAAAAAAAUUGUGUAAAAGAAAGUGAAGAAAAAAUAAGAUGAGAAAAGAAAACUAUUGUAUUUAGGUAAACGAGUUUAAAUUUCUCAGACAAUUGAUUAGGUGAGAAUGACCUAAAGAACAGGCCAUCUGCUCCUAGGUAAUAGCCUCCUGAUAAUUAUAAGCAAAAUAGCAACAAAUGCAAGUGACUUGGAGUUGAAAGUAAUACUGGCCAGCCAAAAAUUCAUGAUCACAAAUAAAUUUCAUAUAAUCUGAUGUACAUGAUAUCUGUGAACCCUUACUGUUACCUUCAAGUCUUUUAACAAAAAUAUUGAUCCAUAAUCAUUUACUGCAUGAAAAAUAAAUUUGGUUUUAAAACAUAGAAUGGAUUUGCAACACCUUUCAGAUAUUAUAACUUCCUAGCACACAUGCUCUUUAACUUACUUGGUUGGGGGAUCUCCUGCAGGGGGUGGGGCAGGGGGAAGGUGGGGUGAUAAAACUAAGUCAAGUCUCCAAAGAAGCUUCAGGAAAAUCGAACUACCUUGGUAGGGACAGAACAACAUCCAAUUGACACUAAGCAAUCAAUUCUAGCAUCUGGCCAUAAUAAUUGUGCUUCUCGUACGGCAAAAAUAGUAGGAUUAUUUGCAACAAUAGCUCCAUCCUGCCAACGGUAAGCACCUAUGAAAACAAGACAAGAAAGAGGAGCUCAGGUGAAGAUGCAGGUGACAAAGCUAGGAAAACCAAACAUAAAAAACGAGAACAAUAUGAGCGGUAACUCAGCAAGAACUGAAACAAAUACCGUCAGAGAAAUCAUCAAGGUAAUAUGGUGCAGCAGAAGAUGCUCUUAUAGCUUGCCAUACGUGGUGCUUACAACUUCCAAGAAAGGCGUUCCUCUUGGAUCCAACUUGGGCUCCAGAUGUUGCUGCUCCAAGGCCACCUGUUGUCAAGUUCUCAGAAAUUGCGGAGGAAAUCUCUGGAGUCCCAGCAGGGUACUGCACUUCAUCACAAAUAAAAAGAGGAAAAUAAAGCAAAACAUAUAAACCCUAACAAGAGACCUACAAAGAAAAUACAGACGUAAAGAUUGAAUAAUAGAUAAUCUCCUCACAAGGCACCUGGUAAUUGCGGAAUAUGAAAGGCUGAGCUGGUGCAACACUGACAAGAGUUGAUACCACAAAUACUUUGGGAACCCGUUUAACAGCUGAUUCUAUCAGAAGAUCUCCAUCCUCAUCAGCACACAUCUCCUUCAAUAAUCGCUCAAACUGAUCUGCACUGUGCUGGAAGAUGAUAAAAGAUAAGUCUCUAGUAUAAAGACAUAAAGGUGAAUGUCAUUCAAAGGGAAAAAAGAAGCACACAAGAAGUCUCCAAAGAGAGAACAAACACUCUCUUAACCAAUAUCACUUACUAAACAUCUCUAGGACAUACAAGAAUGCAAAGGGUAUAAUCAUUUUAUUACUUCUUCAAGAAAAAAAGUACCCCGCAAGGGAAUAUUAGUCAUCUCAACUCCAAAUAAGAGGGGAAACUUUAAACAAAUCAAUAGAAAAAGGAGAAAACUCUGAGAGCACUUUUAAAAGUAAUUCACAUUCUCCUCAAUAUAGGUAAUAGGGGCUAACAUUAUUUCACUGAAGAAAAAGAAAUUGGGUGCAAAAUAGAGCAUUACAUACUUUGGAUCCGUGCACAACAACUCUGAAACUCUGAGAUGAGCUUUUGUAAAGUUGAUCCAAUUUUUCUCUCCAACUUGCUGCUUCAUUGUCCUUCGGAACAGGUUCAGCAAAAACAAGUUUCCCUGGAAAAUGUGGGGAAAAAUAACAUCAUAAGAAGGUAUAGGAACCACAAAGUGGAAUGCCUUUUUAUGCAGAGAGCACACCUAGCUCUUUGUAUAUCUCUUCACAUCUUUCCAAGGACAUCAAUUUAAUUGCAAGAGCAACUGCAAGCAUGCCACCCGUUGAUGUACCACAAAUAAGGUCAAACAGCUCAUGUAUCUGUUUCCCAGUGCCCUUUUCAAUUUCCUUGAGCAUCCUGACAGUUGCCAGACCUUUCAUGCCACCACCAUCCAUGGAAAGGAUACGCAGCCCACGCUUUGGGACUUGCCGGCCUCUAAUAGCACGCCGCAGAACCUCAUUUUCGCCUGAGAUUGCACAAACACGUCUCAUCUUUCUGGAGAUCUAAAGAGAAUUGAUAGCUAAACAUGGAUUUCAACAUUGACAAACCAAGUAUAGCCAAAGCACGAGCUGCAGCUUUAUUCACACGUGGCUCGGAUGCAACUGUCAGUCGUACAAGAAGAUCCCUCAAACUUUCUGAAGUAACGAGUGUAUGCCGAUUCUCCAAGCAGAAAGCUAAAUUUCCCACUGCCAAUAAAGCUAAUGUUUGUACCUGAUCGAUACAAAAAGUCCUUUCAGACAAAUAGUGAAGAUUAAGUUUAAAAAAAAAAAAACACACAAAAAGAAGCUCUAAGAGAAGUAUACCUCCGUAUUUCUAUGGGCGCAUAAUAAUUUCAAAGAUUUUAGUAUAUCCUUAGUCAACAUUUUCUGAGCCACAAUAUCAGACGUAAAAGCCAACUUAACCACAACUUGCAGCACAGAUAUUACUUCUUCUUGACUGGCAGAUUUCAGCACUCCUUCAAUUGGUUGCAUGAUGUCAGUCUUUAUCAACUGCAUUGCCACAGAAACAUCUGAAGCAAGAGAUGAAAGAGCAGAACAAGCUUGCUCAACCUGCGAAGAAAGCACGAAUAAUUAGACCUCACACCUGAUGUGAAAUUAAGACAAAGACAGACAACAAAUUGAGUAACAAACCACGUGUUGAUUGUCGCUACUUAUCAUACUUAUGAGCUGCCGCACUGCAUUCUCAUCUUUCCCAACGACAACCCGAUUUCCCUCAUCUUGCAUUAUCUUUGCCAGAGCAGAUGCAAGCAAAGGGUGAUGACAAGAAGAAAACCGGAAUAUGAGAGAAAAGAAGGCACUCAGUUUAUGCCGAGAUGCAACAAAGUAAGAACUGUUCUCCAUCUGGAAGAAUCAGAGAAGAAAAGGAGUACUUAGCACUGAUAGUAGAACACCAAAAAAUGGGAAUAGAUAAUUGUCUAAUACCUCUAUCUGCACAUUCAAUGAUCUAAGAUUGUCAUCUGCAACAAUCCUGAUAUUUGCAAGAGACAAAUGACGAAGUUUAUGCAAUGGUAAGAUAUCAGGGAGGAACUCCAUUGGAUUUCCAAAUAGCCUUAGAACCCGCAACUCAGCCAUAGACCUGUCAUAAGCUGGAAAUGAAUUAGGCCUCAAGGACAAUAAUUAUAACCAAAUUCAGGCAUAAGCAGGUAUAAAUCUUCAACCAGUGAUAAAGGUAGCUUCAAUGACCUGAAAUCAAGAAGAGGCCGGACCAAUUUGUUGUGUUCCAGAGACAAUUCAAGUAAUCCAUCACAUUGCCUUAGUUCAGCUGUAACAAUAUCAUAUCAAGACGAGCCAGAAAAUACCAUGGUCACAACAACAGAUGAAAUAAGCAUAUAUCUUUGAUUUAGUUCAAUUAAUAACAUAAAAUACAGUCACAAGUAACAUCCCUGGAGAUGAUACGAGAUAUGUAAUCAACAUUGUAUGCAACAUAUAAUUGGAUCUUACCAGGAACAGAGGCCAGCAGGUUGAAGUCAACUGCAAGAACUUUCAAGUUUUUUAGCCCACCAAGCUCAGGUGGCAAAGUUAAUAGCUUGUUGUUAUCAAGAUAUAGCUUCUCAAGUAGUGGCAGUUGGGUUACCUCCACAGGCAAGACCUGUAAUAGCAACAACAGAUUGUAAAGAAUUAGUAAACCUCUAAAAACUAAAUUAAAUUAAAUAAAAUCCCAGCCCCCUGCGAACAACCUCUAAAAACUAAAUUAAAAGAGAGAGAGAGAGAGAGAGAGAGAGAGAGAGAGAGAGAGAUUCUGUCUUCAUUAACAUCCUCAAACCAUAAAGUACCAAAGUCAUCUUGCUACUCCUGAUUAGCUUAAACCAACCUCCAUGAGAAUAAUAGAAAAUCUUCUCCUCUAUGCUACUGCUUCUUAACAAAUUCAAAGGAGGCAUUCUUGCGAAUAUUUGACACUGGACCAGUAAUAAAGUGGGGAACAUUGGGCUACCAAUAGCUAUUGUCAUGAACAGUUUUGCCACCCUAUAACUUCUACUAAUAUAAACAGUCAUAAGUUCAUCAAAGAGAAAAUCAUAGAACAAUAAGUAAAUCUUCCAUCUUUUUUUUUUCCUGUAUGUCCCCUACUACAACGAUUAUAGUACGAAGAACCAUACGAAUCACACUGUGAUAAUUUUUCUGUUCAUCUCUCCCAUUUUUUCUGUUCCAGUUGGUGGCAAAUGCAGAAUACUCUAUAAACCAUAUUGGCUUUAAGGAAAGAAAAGGCAAAAGUAGACAUUGCAUUUGCAUCUUAUAAAACUGAAGAACACCACAAAAUCUAUCAUCAAAAGAAUACCAUAUGAAAUGAAUACUCACUGAUAAUCCCAGACCACAGAGACUGACCAAAGUGACACUCUUCCAAUGCUCAGCACACCCUACGACAGCCCCAACCCCAGCUCCGUGCCCUGCUCCAGCCCCCUCCGCAGCCGCACCUCCACCUCCAACCCCAUUCGCAAAAUUUGACCUCAUCAGCCUCACAAAAACUCCCAUCCCAUCACUCUGCUGGCCCGAUCCCCCAACUCUCCACAUUAUAACCCCCUUCAACGGCUCCCUCCUCUUCACCACCCUCAUCUCCACUCCCACCUCUCCCCCAAAAUCCUCCCCAGCCACGCCGCUGGCCACACUACCCUCCCCACUUUCAACAAUCUCGCCGCCAUUUUCCAAAUUUCUAGGACUCUUCUCCUUCUCGUUCAUUUCAACUUCGACAGUGUCCUGCGGCGACGGCAGCGCGACCAUGACCUGCGACUGGAGCCGGAGAGCGACCUGAUCCUCAUCCUCGCCGGCAGUCCAGUCGAGGUCAACUCGAAACCCGAAUUGCUCAUGAUUAUUUUCCUGUGAAAGCAUUGCAAGGGAUGAGCUGAAUGACGAGGACCCACCCACGCCGGCGGCCGACGACGCCGACGACGAUCGUGAUGACCUUGGGCUGGCGUCAUCCAAUGCGUCAUCGGCGCCGUAGCUUAAGGUGACAUGGAAAGUAUCCGAUGGACGUUUCCAGCCCAACCCCCACGACAUUGUUGAAUUUGGAUUUCCUUUGUUUUCUGUUGGUCAUCAAAUUUUAUUGGACAAAUUCGAUCUGAUUAAAUUUGAACGAAAAUGGUGAUUGACAUAUCAUUUUUCUGUAAACUUUUUAUAGGGUUUUAGAGAAAUCGUUACUCUCUCAUGAGUGUGGAGAGAGAAGAAGAGAGACAAAAUAAUGUGUUUUUUUUUCCCCCCCCAGUUUCAGUAGUGCAGUUUCUCCGAUAAGAGGCGGGUUCAAUGAGCAAGAAGACAACUCAAAAGACGCCGUCGGCUCUCGGCUUGCUUACUUCGUCAAUAAUCCAGAAGUCAGACCAACCAUUUACGACGACGUGUCCUCUGGAAUAUGCACCGACCAAUUAUUUCAUUCUACAUUUUUAUUUUCUUUUUUAAAACAUUUCAUAAUUGUUUUAUUUUAUUUUUGGGAAAAGAGAGUAUACUUUUGCGUUACUUCUAAAGCACUCAUCGGGGAAGGGUCCGAUAUCCAGCUACCUUAAAUCAUCCUUUUGGUUGUUUAAUUGCAUUAAUUCACUCAAUAAUCUUCCACUUGCUUUACUUCAAUACAAAUCCUUAUACUCCUAUAAAAUUGACCAUACCAAUGCCUAUCCUAUGCCCUAAUAAAAAAGUUUGGUUAGGGUUGAUGACCGAAAAUUUUGAUAAAUCAUUUAUUCUGUUCUAGAUAUAAUAUGUUAAUCAAGGAGUCCUCGAUACUCGUAAGAUAGUAAAAAAAUUUAACUAAUUUAUUAGGAUUAAUCUUCUUACACCAGUAACAAGAGUUUAACUAAUUUGUUAGUAUAAUUAAUCUUUCUUACACCGGCGAGAUAUAGAUGCAUCACAUUAUUUUAAUCUAAAUUUGAUACUGAAUUUGAAUACCAAACUUUACAUUACAUAUAUGAUGACGUCCAUUUACAUCCGCUAACAUUAUAUACACUAUCUGUGCAUAAAAUAUUUACCCAAUUUAUUGUGUCAUAUUUUCAAAUGUAAUAUCUCGUGGUGUUUUUAAGUCAAACUGCAAUUUUUCUUUUUUUAAGAUUACAAAGAACCAUGAUACAGGAAAUAAAUAUAAUUAACAAAAAAACCAGCCAACAAAUGAUGCAAAAACAAUUUGUAAUACUUUAAUAUACUGUUGUGUUUUUUAUUGCAAAAACAAAGUGGAAUUGCAUCACUCAUUCGUCAUCUCUUGAGCUAGUUAUCUUGACUAAUUAUGUCAAAAAAAGUUGUCUUGACUAAUUAUAUGUCAGAUGAGCUAAUGGACAGCAUAACGUGUAACUUGAGAUAGAAAUACACCAUGCAGUAUUAGUCCAGCAAAUGCAAAUAUUAAAGAGAAUAGUAUACAUCCCCUGCAAACUUUUGAGAGAGGGCAAAGAGAAUUGUCAACAGAUACUAAAGGGAGGACAAAAGAGAAGAUCUGGAUUUGGAGAAACAUUUUUGACCAAGCAAAGGGGGAGAUGGGAAACUGGAAAGGCAGGGAGCCACAGAGAAAAAGAAAUUUGGCAUGGAAAGGCAAUAAUUGGAAUGACUGUACCAUGGGUACAAAUAAUAAAGAGGUUAGACAUCACAGGAGUAGAUGCAAAAAAAAUACUUCUCUAGAAACAUUCUGGAAACAAAUAUGAAUUUGGGCAACUGUAGAACCUGAAGAGCAGCAACAGUAAAUAAUAACUAAAACAGGAGGGAGGCAUUGCCGAUAAUCAAGCAAAUAACAGCAAUAACACAAAACAAUGCCAGAUAGAUCUCUGCAAUUCUGAGGAACUUUAGAGCAUACUAUCUCCCUAUCCUGUGAAUGGUCUCUGAAUGGUGCCAACAGCAGAUCAUA